rnacentral:rRNA from 1 species
GAGUUUGAUCAUGGCUCAGGAUGAACGCUAGCGGCAGGCUUAACACAUGCAAGUCGAGGGGUAUUCUAGCAAUAGGAGAGACCGGCGCACGGGUGCGUAACGCGUAUGCAAUCUACCUUUCACAGAGGGAUAGCCCAGAGAAAUUUGGAUUAAUACCUCAUAGUAUAAUGACUCGGCAUCGAGAUAUUAUUAAAGUCACAACGGUGAAAGAUGAGCAUGCGUCCCAUUAGCUAGUUGGUAAGGUAACGGCUUACCAAGGCGACGAUGGGUAGGGGUCCUGAGAGGGAGAUCCCCCACACUGGUACUGAGACACGGACCAGACUCCUACGGGAGGCAGCAGUGAGGAAUAUUGGACAAUGGGCGCAAGCCUGAUCCAGCCAUGCCGCGUGCAGGAUGACGGUCCUAUGGAUUGUAAACUGCUUUUGCACAGGAAGAAACACCCCCUCGUGAGGGGGCUUGACGGUACUGUGAGAAUAAGGAUCGGCUAACUCCGUGCCAGCAGCCGCGGUAAUACGGAGGAUCCAAGCGUUAUCCGGAAUCAUUGGGUUUAAAGGGUCCGUAGGCGGUUUAGUAAGUCAGUGGUGAAAGCCCAUCGCUCAACGGUGGAACGGCCAUUGAUACUGCUAGACUUGAAUUAUUAGGAAGUAACUAGAAUAUGUAGUGUAGCGGUGAAAUGCUUAGAGAUACAUGGAAUACCAUUGC